rnacentral:rRNA from 1 species
AUUGAACGCUGGCGGAAUGCUUUACACAUGCAAGUCGAACGGCAGCACGGACUUCGGUCUGGUGGCGAGUGGCGAACGGGUGAGUAACAUAUCGGAACGUAUCCAAUAAUGGGGGAUAACUAAUCGAAAGGUUGGCUAAUACCGCAUACGCCCUACGGGGGAAAGCUAGGGACCUUCGGGCCUGGCGUUAAUGGAGCGGCCGAUAUCUGAUUAGCUAGUUGGUGGGGUAAAGGCCCACCAAGGCGACGAUCAGUAGCUGGUCUGAGAGGACGACCAGCCACACUGGAACUGAGACACGGUCCAGACUCCUACGGGAGGCAGCAGUGGGGAAUUUUGGACAAUGGGCGCAAGCCUGAUCCAGCCAUUCCGCGUGAGUGAAGAAGGCCUUCGGGUUGUAAAGCUCUUUCGCAAGGGAAGAAAACUUAGCCUCUAACAUAGGCUGAGGUUGACGGUACCUUGAUAAGAAGCACCGGCUAACUACGUGCCAGCCGCCGCAGUAA